GAGGGCAGAGCCCCACUAACAUAAGAUUGUUGGUGCCACCUGAUAGGUGCCCAGGGUCCAGCUGUUGGAAGUCAGCUACUGUGACAUCACAACUUCAGACAGAGUACUACAACUCCCAGCUGGCUCUACAGAAGGAUUCUUAUGGUGUUAGAAAGGGUUGGCUGUCCUGCAAUUUAUCAACCGUGCAACAUUGUGAAUCCCAGAAUGCGUUGUCAGGUGUCAGAUCAGGAUAAGCCGCGCUGAAGCUAAGGUUAAAGCUGUAAAACCCCACAAACCAUCUCAUGUCUACAACGGGAACUAGGUUCUCUAGGUUCCUACAGACAUAGUACAGAAGACUGCAGAUCCCACAGCACAGACGCUUUAGGACAAUAUACUCUUGCCAAGUAGAAUCUCAGCUGUUGCAUCACGUCUGUAUAUCCAAUUCAAGGUCUCUUGCUAUCUAUUUCUGACAAUGCCACCUGCCCGAUAACCCAAGGGUUUGGCCAUGGCGGUGAGAACAUUCCCUUCUCUCCUGUUCUAACAUUUCAAUACUUUGAUUCUUCUCCCCUCCGAGCUGCAGCAUAUGCUUUUGGCGCCCUACAUUUCUUUUUUGCUGAGAUCACAUGCAAAUUUUUGACAAUCAGGAUGAAGAAUGGCUGGUGCUGCGCUCCUACAAGAGAGAAAACCUGUAAGAUCCUGUACAGUUCACUCAAGCAUCCAUCAGCUGUCAGCAACAAGUAUGGAAUGAAGAGAGAGAAUUGACUUUAGUCAUCUGAAUUAGCCUUUAACAUUCUAAUAUUACAAGUUUCAUCUGUUCCUAUAACAUGGGAGAUUUCUACCUGAUGAUGUGGAAAUGUUACUUUUGGGUACAACAGGUCAAUAGAAAUUGUA